rnacentral:lncRNA from 1 species
GGAUGGGGAUGAGAUUUCAGUUGCUCCGGGACCGACGCAUCUCCUCACGUGGGCCAGGUCUUCACACACACAAAGCGGAUCCGGGGCGGUGAAAACGAUUGACAACCGGCCCUCAUGACCCAGGCAGAGGCGCAGAAAGAGGCUCACCAAAGACCGGCCGCCAUGCCAGAAGCCGCUUUGUGGCGCACAGGGCACAUUCGGCCAAAGACACACACGCACACGGGCACAUACACACAAACCCACAGAGAGAGGGAAAGAAACACACAGAGACCGAGGGACAGAGACAGAAGAGCGAAUGGGUGACACACACAGAGACACACACACACAGACACACCCAGACACACACACAGAGUCAUACAGCAGAAGCAUUGAAACACAC